rnacentral:rRNA from 1 species
UGGGGAAUAUUGCACAAUGGGGGAAACCCUGAUGCAGCGACGCCGCGUGAGCGAAGAAGUAUUUCGGUAUGUAAAGCUCUAUCAGCAGGGAAGAAAUGACGGUACCUGAGUAAGAAGCUCCGGCUAAAUACGUGCCAGCAGCCG